CGAGAUUAGUGAGAGCGUAAAGAGGCAAAAAGUAUUGAAAGAGAAAAUUGCAGAACUGUUAAAGACGCAUCUACACAUGCCAGCGGGAAAAGAGGACGAACUAUAUGCAACUUUGAAAAAAAGAAAUGCUGAUAUUUACAUUCAAAGAUCAAAAUUGUGUUCUUGGAUGGAGAGUACCAAGUAAUAAAGUUAAGUUUUCCAUCGCUUUAACGCUGCGAGCAGAAGAAAGCAAUGACAAAUCAUGUGCUGGCAAUCAAAGAACCAAUGGAAAAAAUAUUGUCAAUAUCAAGUUAGGUAUUCCGUGGCUCAAAGGGCUCGAAAAUUGAAACUGUUUCCACCCAAGCAGGGGAGAAUGGUGAUCUAUCCAACGUCGAAGGGUCGUUGAAAGGACAUUUUUGAAAGAAAUGCUGCUAAGAAAAAAGUGUUAUUAAGGGGAUAAUCUACAACGAAAGUCCCUUUAUUAUCGAAAUCCAGAGAGCCCAAAACCAGAUAAUUACUUUCGGUUCUUAUGCACGGUAUCUUUCGGUAUCAAUAAGAACAGUUCGAGUUUUUUGCUCAAUCUUAACUAGUCAAAUUUGCCACAGUACUGCUUUGCUCUGUAAAAUAGGGGUGU
rnacentral:lncRNA from 1 species